CCUACGGGUGGCAGCAGUCGAGAAUCAUUCACAAUGGGGGAAACCCUGAUGGUGCGACGCCGCGUGGGGGAAUGAAGGUCUUCGGAUUGUAAACCCCUGUCAUGUGGGAGAAAAUUAAAAAGAUAGUACCACAAGAGGAAGCGACGGCUAACUCUGUGCCAGCAGCCGCGGUAAUACAGAGGUCUCAAGCGUUGUUCGGAAUCACUGUGCGUAAAGCGUGCGUAGGCUGUUUCGUAAGUCGUGUGUGAAAGGCCCGGGCUCAACCCGCGGACGGCACAUGAUACUGCGAGACUAGAGUAAUGGAGGGGGAACCGGAAUUCUCGGUGUAGCAGUGAAAUGCGUAGAUAUCGAGAGGAACACUCGUGGCGAAGGCGGGUUCCUGGACAUUAACUGACGCUGAGGCACGAAGGCCAGGGGAGCGAAAGGGAUUAGAUACCCCUGUAGUC
rnacentral:rRNA from 1 species